UAGGUCCUGUAGCCCAAGCUCGUGUGGAUCCGCGUUUUACGCACAUGUGGCAUUUGCGUGGAGCGGAGUUCCUGUAUCCAUCUUGGCUGUGGGCCUUUGGCUUUGUCGUAGCCUAUUUGGCAUUGGGCUGGUGUCAUACUCCUCUGCCGGCUGGUUCAUCUGCUCCUGCUUUAGAGACUGUGCCUCAUCACUCGCGGUGGUGAGGAUCCCCAAACUCGCCAAGCGAACUACAGACGGGUUGCUGUUUUGUUUGGAAUGGAUGUGCACCGAGUGUGUGUUUGUCUGAAAACCUGAGUUUGCAUGGUUGCGUUUGGUAUGUGAGACGCGCAUUUGGAUGAAUGCAUGCACGACCUCUGGUUUAGUUGAUUUUAAUAUUUGUGUGGUAUUCUGUGAAGUGGGAACCUUUUGUUUGUCUUUGUUUUGGUUUGUUAACUACAUUACUGUCAUUUUUGUUUACACUGCACUUGUGAUUAGGCUAGUUUACCUGUGCCAAGCUCCUCCAACCCCAUAUUAUCUUGCUUGCAGUGCUAUAGAGUGCCCGUUUGGCACCAGUGUGGUUUGCAGUGAUACUCGUGUAUAAUCAUCAUUCUUUGUUAUUUUUUUUAUUAAUAGUUUGUUGUGUUUGUCUGGGUGGGUUGAUUUUACACUUUGAGUUACAAAGGGUCGGGGAACGUAAUUUGGUAUGUGGACCAUCAAGCGGAUCCAAUUGUGUUUCGUAGACAAUGCUGA